ensembl:lncRNA
AGAAAGGAAGCAGAAACCACGUCUGAGCAAGCGCCGCGCUGCCGCCUUGCUGCUUCUGAGCACGCAGAGUCUGGGGACGAGGACAGGGCCCCAUGUCCUGCUCCUCAGUGUAGGACCGAUCCCCCCCAGUUCCCGAGACAGAUCUGCUGAGCACRCGAAGAGCCAGGACAUGGCACCCCACGGCCUCCGACCUGCCAUGUGCCAGCAACCGGGCAGGGGAGGAGCAGAGCCAUGCUGUUUGCCACCCYGUGAACCUGGGGAACGGGCUGCUGCCGAAAGGAGGGGGCUGCUGCUUCGCUGAUGGAGUACACAGCGAGAGACCAAGAGAUGGAAGAGAGGGUCACGUACGCAGAUCUGCACUUCGCCCCCACACCAGCUCCUCAGCGAAUGAAGCAGCAGCCCUGGCGCUGUGCAGCCCUCAGCCUGGCUCUCCUUUGCCUGCUGCUCCUGCUGGCACAAAUUGUUCUCGUUGGCUUGAGCUUCCACCUUUUAGGGCAACUGGCAGGCUGCACCCAUGGUCCCUGGAGCACGGAGGAGACCCUCAGCUAUGGGCAACAGACUCUGCCAGGGCAAUGCCAGUUCUGCCCAGCUGGCUGGCUCUGGGACGCAGGGCAGUGCUACUACUUCUCUUCUGCCAAAAAGACCUGGGAGCAGAGCAAAGAGGACUGCUGUUCCAGAGAGGCACAGCUGGUCACCAUCCGAGCCAAUGCCACCCUGGCGUUCCUGGCACGCAUGUCCGACGUGGAUGUGUUCCAUGUGGGGCUGAAGCGCGACAGCUCCCAGGCUGACUGGAAGUGGCUGGACGGCACUGCACUGAAGGGGCUCUUCCCAAUCCAGCGUUUCACCAACUCUUUCCUGUCCUGCGGGAGGGUGUCUCGCUCAGGCCUGUCUGGCGGCCUGUGCAGGGAAGCCCACAGCUGGAUCUGUGAGAAGAGUGCUGCCACCCUGCAGUGGGUCCAGUCCGCACCCCCCGCCUUCCUCUGGGGGAAUACCACCUACACCUGUGCGAGGCACUGGUAACCCGGGCCCAGGUCCUGCAGGGACCUCCAGCCUGGCCACCCUGGCAGCACAGGGACACCGUCGCUGCCRUUGCACCCUGCCUGACCUGUCCUCCCGUGCGCUGGCGUCCCAGACUGCAGUCUCCUAACGCAGAGCUCUUCUUCCCCCGCAGCCCAGAUCUGUGCACUGUGUCAAUAAACUCUGACAUGCGGAUGCUGUAGCUGUCUUU